GUGGGUUUUCUCCGGGCACUCUUGUUUUCUCCGGGCACUCUUGUUUUCUCCCACAUCCCAAAAACAUGCAACAAUUCUCUCUCUCUCUCGUGAGGAUAAGCGGCAAAGAAAAUGGGCAGAUAGCAAGAUGUCAUGUCAUCAGCUCGUAGUUUUUGUAGUUAUUGCACAUGCAGGAAGUCCGCCUGCAUGUUUGGUCAUGUGACGUUCCGCCAUCAUUCAUUUGCAUCUUUGGUAGAUAAAGUCACCCUGGCAAAAUCCCUAUGGCGAACCCAGGUAACCAAAAGCCUCGCCCGCUGCUGCCAUCGUGAGAGAUUGGUGACGUCAUCCAUGUAAACUGAGGACACCGAAGGCUUCUUCUGCUUUUUAGUGUGCUGCAAUGACAUCUAGUGGUUGCAAAACACAUACACACUUUCUUUUUCAUCUGGGGUGGAGAACUGAAAUGGAAAUGAG